UGGGGAAUAUUGCGCAAUGGGGGAAACCCUGACGCAGCAACGCCGCGUGAAGGAUGAAGGUUUUCGGAUUGUAAACUUCUUUGAUGAGGGACGAACACAAUGACGGUACCUCAAAAACAAGCCACGGCUAACUACGUGCCAGCAGCCGCGGUAAUACGUAGGUGGCGAGCGUUGUCCGGAAUUACUGGGUGUAAAGGGCGUGUAGGCGGGAAAGCAAGUCAGAUGUGAAAUACCGGGGCUUAACUCCGGGGCUGCAUCUGAAACUGUUUUUCUUGAGUGUCGGAGAGGAAAGCGGAAUUCCUAGUGUAGCGGUGAAAUGCGUAGAUAUUAGGAGGAACACCAGUGGCGAAGGCGCCUUUCUGGACGGUGUCUGACGCUGAGGCGCGAAAGCCAGGGGAGCGAACGGG
rnacentral:rRNA from 2 species